UGUGUGUGUGUGUAUGUGUGUAUAUAUAUAUAUAUAUAUAUAUGUAUAUAUAUAUACACACACACAUACACACGCA